rnacentral:rRNA from 1 species
GACGAACGCUGACGGCGUGCUUAACACAUGCAAGUCGAAGGGAGUGGCGAACGGGUGAGUAACACGUGAGUAACCUGCACAUUUGUUUGGGACAAGCAUGGGAAAAUGCGUCUAAUCCUGGAUGGGAUGGGCUGGGCUCGCUGCUUAUCAGGUUGUUGGUGGGGUGAUGGUUUGUCAAGGCUUUGACGGGUAGCCGGCCUGAGAGAGUGGACGGGCACACUGUGACGGAGAAGCUGCCCAGACUCCGACGGGGGGGAGCAGUGGGGGAUAUUGCAGAAUGGAAGAUAGGGUGGUGCCGCGACGACGUGUGGGGGAUGAGGGCUUUAGGGUUGUAAACGGCUUUCGCCCGCGGAAUGUUAGUGGGUAAAGAAGCGCAGGCUAACUCCGUGCCAGCAGCCGCGGUAAUAC